rnacentral:lncRNA from 1 species
GUCACAGCAAGUGGCCCACAGCAAGCUCCAGAGGCAUGAGGGAGAGAGCCUGCAGGUAUUUCCUGACUGCAACCCCUGGAGACACUGACCCCCAAGUGAGAAUCACCCCGUUGAUCACCAGAACUGUGAGUUUUAUUGAUGGCUUCCUCGCACUGUCUGGCUAUACUUGCACCACCAAACUUCUACCGAGAAGACAUAAUGAAAGCCUGGAGAACCAUGGCCACAAAUAACCCCCAACAGGAUGGUAGAUCAUUACAAACAUCCUUGUACUGAUAAUGCACUUGACGGCUCCCUGGUGCUACUCUGGGUCCUUACACUGUGUUGUUCUUCCUCCAACGAAUGCCGAGUAUGAAUACCUUCUGUGUGAGUGGCACAGCCUCUGUCCCUAAGGCAUUUAUAGGAGGGGAACCAGAAGGCUGGUGCAGAGCCCGCCCGGAGAGAUUCUAGGUGCCCUUCAAUUGAGAGUAAUGACACAAUUUUUUGGAAAGAGACAGAAACCCAUUUUGCUUAAAUACGCUUAGAAAUAAGCAGAAAAUACGAAUGAAUAAUAAUUUUUAAAGCAUUUUUUGACCUACCUGAAUGUUCAUGAGAGGUCUGUCUUCAGGCUAGCCUGAUCCAGGGUCUAAUGACCUUCUAGACUCUGUUACAUCUGCUUCCCCUGGGACGGCUCCAUGCACAAGGUGAUUCCUCUUGUGGCAGUAAAUUUGGGUUUGGCGUCUCACACCCUACAGCAUCAUGAUCUGGGGGGGAAGAGUUUGUAUCCCUGAAUAUUAGGGUCAUGUUCCCAUCCAUGAACCAAUUAUUGGGUCGGGGAGACUGGGUAUGCCGGUGGGUUUAAGCCAAUUGGAGCCUAUUCCUGGAGCUCUAUUCAGAGUUAGUCCCUCGUUAUCUACAUAGUUAAGAGCAGAAGGAUUGAUUUCUCCAAAGAAAAUAUGGGGACCUAUGGCCUGAAAGGUGAGAACAUGGAAUAUAGGCUGCCAGUGGCAGCAGGUGUUUGAGCCAGGGAAGGCUUGUCCGUGGGUGAGAACACAGGGGAGGGGCGGCAGUCCAGGUGCAGAAGCAGCAUGAGCAAACCUGGGGCCCCCCCGAAAUCACCUGCAAUCACCUGGAGCUUCGGGACAGUCAUGCAGGAGCCGUGGGAGAGGAGACAAACCACGGGCUCAGCGUCCGGGCUCUGACAGAGACUAACUGCAGCAGAUAGUCAGGAUUCAGAGAAAGGGUCAGAGUGAA